CCAUUAGAAAUAAUGUAAAUGCUAAAACUGGAGCGAUCCAGAGACAAUUAUCCUGGCCCUAAAGCAAGGGUGACCCAUAAGUGCAUGAGGCAUUCCAUGUUUUU